rnacentral:rRNA from 1 species
GACGAACGCUGGCGGCGUGCUUAACACAUGCAAGUCGAACGGUGACCCUCGGAGCUUGCUUCGGGGUGAACAGUGGCGAACGGGUGAGUAACACGUGAGUAACCUGCCCCUGACUCUGGAAUAAGCGCUGGAAACGGCGUCUAAUACCGGAUACGACACGCCUCCGCAUGGGGAGCGUGUGGGAAGUUUUUCGGUCUGGGAUGGACUCGCGGCCUAUCAGCUUGUUGGUGAGGUAAUGGCUCACCAAGGCGAUGACGGGUAGCCGGCCUGGGAGGGCGACCGGCCACACUGGGACUGAGACACGGCCCAGACUCCUACGGGAGGCAGCAGUGGGGAAUAUUGCACAAUGGGCGAAAGCCUGAUGCAGCGACGCCGCGUGAGGGAUGACGGCCUUCGGGUUGUAAACCUCUUUCAGCAGGGAAGAAGCGAAAGUGACGGUACCUGCAGAAGAAGCACCGGCUAACUACGUGCCAGCCGCCGCUGUAUAC